rnacentral:rRNA from 1 species
CAGCAGCCACGGUAAUACGUAGGUGGCAAGCGUUGUCCGGAAUUAUUGGGCGUAAAGCGCGCGCAGGUGGUUUAAUAAGUCUGAUGUGAAAGCCCACGGCUCAACCGUGGAGGGUCAUUGGAAACUGUUAAACUUGAGUGCAGGAGAGAAAAGUGGAAUUCCUAGUGUAGCGGUGAAAUGCGUAGAGAUUAGGAGGAACACCAGUGGCGAAGGCGGCUUUUUGGCCUGUAACUGACACUGAGGCGCGAAAGCGUGGGGAGCAAACAGGAUUAGAUACCCCUGUAGUCCCUGUCUCUUAUAC